rnacentral:rRNA from 1 species
UACGGAGGGUGCAAGCGUUAUCCGGAUUUACUGGGUUUAAAGGGUGCGUAGGUGGGUAAGUAAGUCAGUGGUGAAAUCUUCAGGCUUAACCUGGAAACUGCCAUUGAUACUAUUUAUCUUGAAUACUCUGGAGGUAAGCGGAAUAUGUCAUGUAGCGGUGAAAUGCUUAGAUAUGACAUAGAACACCAAUUGCGAAGGCAGCUUACUACAUAGUUAUUGACACUGAGGCACGAAAGCGUGGGAUCAAACAGG